GUUUUUGUCUAAAAACAUUCAAGAUGUUACUAUACAAAAAAACCACAUUUAGUCACACAAAUGAGGAAUCGUUUAUUUUUGAGUGCAUCAAAAAAAUGCCGACGACAUAAUUUCUCUUUUGAUCAUCUUGUUCCUGAAUAUUGUUGUGUAUAUAUACCUUUAAUUUUCAAGUAGCUUUUCUGUUCGUUAAAAAGGUAGUAAAUAAUUAUAAUUGUUUAAACCAACUUUUUACGACUGUUUAAUGAGUCAUGGGUACGAUUCAAGAUGAGUUUUCAUUUUUUUCAUUUUUAUGUAUGAAAUGGUUUACUUGUGUAUUUUGAAUGAUUCAAAAGAAAUUUUAAUGUUGGAAGUCAAGUUACAAAUGAGAUACAGAGAAAAGAAAUCGGUAUGAAAAAAAGCUCGGGUCAUUUAUUUGUUUACGAAUGAUAUAAAGUAAAUAAAAAAUUUUGACAAUGUUACUAUUGGCAAACCAAAUAGACUGGUUCAAUGUGUUCAUAAAUCAUUUUAUCAACAACAAAAAGCAACAUUAGAUUGAAGUAAUCCUUUUGAAUGUUCUAUGGUCGUUACAACGACCUAGUCAACAACUACAAUAUUCCGCUAGGUCGAAUCCCGACUGAUUUUUUCAAACUUAUAGUUAGGCCAUUAUUAAUCACUGAAAUGACUACGGAUUUUUCCGUUUCCCCAAUUACGACAAAGACAACACGAAAGGGGUGACCAAUCAGCAAAAGAUGCACAUACUCCUUUAUGGCACCUGAUCCAAUCUCAGUUUUUUUGUUGAGGUCCAUGUUUGCUCUGCUCCUGUUUUGUAUUUUACCUUUGGACUUUGAAUUGAACGCUUUUUGUUAUCACCAUAUGUAAACAAUACCAUGACUCACUUUUGUAACUCGCGAUCGAUAUUUGACUUUCAGAUUUAGCCAAGAAUUAUUUUUUUUAAUCAUUUAGUUUGGUGUUAGAUAUAAACGGUAUACAUGCUCAAGAUCGUGUUGUAUAUUAUCUGCUGGCUCUUCAUACAAUAAAAAUUGAAUCAUAACGC
rnacentral:misc_RNA from 1 species